CGCCCCGGAGCGGCCCUGACCCCUGAUCCCGCAUUCCUCCGGCUGCGCCCCCCCAGCGCACGCUCUCACCCCCCCAGCGCGGCUUUUUAUUUUCCGUCCUGAUGUGUUUUAAAUGUGAGUCCCCGGAGCUGCCGGCCGCCCCCCGCCCCCGGCAGCGCGUUAUUUCGAGGCGGGCAGCGGGUCCGGCGGGAAGGGGCGAGGGGGGCGGCGGGGCGGUUGCCAGGGGCGUUCGGGGGAAUCCGCUGUUUCCCUUCCCCUGUGCUGCCCGCUCGGCCCUCGUCCCUCCCCCGGGCACAGGGGACGCGGGGCGGUGGAUCGGGGGUGCCGCGGGGUACCCGGUGUCCGGCGGCGAACGGUCCCGGCGCUUUGGUACCACCGAAAAAAGAUGCUCUCUAUGAAUAGAGAGAGUGCCUAUUUACUCUGAAAUACUUGGCACAGCGAGUGGAGUCUGAAGCAUGGAAGAAGUGGCUAUUAUUUUCCCACUGCCUGUGUGCAGCUGUCAUUUCUGAGCAACACGUUCCUCGCACAUCCCUGCUUCCAACCUUGCUGAUGGUCCGUCCCAGGAUUACAACAAGAAGAGAAUGGCGUGCCACCUCACUCAGCCAAAACCUUAACACUGUGGUUUGUAUUUGACUGAACCCAGGACCUAAGCAUUGUGGCUUGUAUUAAGUCAUUGCAGAUAACUGCUAUGAUUGUUGUUGCUUUUUUUUUUUUCUUUUUUUUAUCUGGGAGGAUGGCUCUUCCCCCGCCUCCUGUGUCUGAUUUGAAUAUUCAGUGAUGUCAUGUUGUUUGACCUCCGCUUUAACGCAAGGAAUGCCAAUGUUUUGGCUUUUGACCUGUGGAAGUAUGUUAGUGUUUAGUAAGGGAGACCAGCUUAAUGCAACACAUUAAGCAAUCUAAAAUCUGGUAGUUACCUUAAGAGAUCUCAUCUUUUGUGUGCAGGCUUUCCCCCUCUGCCAUUCUCCCUAGCUCCCCACUUUUUCCAUCCCUCCAUAUCUAGGCAUACUUCCAUGCUAUCAUGCAGCAAUAAAACAGGAUUCACGAAGGGAAAAGAAGGUCUUCCAGGUAACGCCCCAUAGGACCAUUGUGCUGUAAAACUGCUACUUACAUUCUGCCAGCAUUGGACUGUGUCUGGUAAAGUAAUUUGGAUGUCAUUUCUUCUACUUGAAAUUCUCCCUUAAAAGAAAUGAGAUUGGCUUUGAAAGAAAAAAUGAAUCCCAGAAGAAGAGUUAUGGUAAAUAAUAUAUGUUCCCAAAACCAUGAGGUCUCCUAAAAUCUGUGUUUACUUGAAGGACUCCAGUGGCCUCAGUGCUGGGUAAAUAGUAUGUGUACCAAACUAUGUAUGACAUGCAUACCAAAAUGCAAAUGUAACCAGGUAAACAGAAUGCCUUUUUUAAAUGCCUAAAUAUGGUAGGAGAACAUCAGAGAGAGAGAGAGAAGCUCUAGACAUGUUUUAUAACUUUCCAUGUAAGAGGUUUUUUCAGAGAUACAAUUUUAUUAAACAAAACCUAAGGAUCUCACUGACAGAAAAAGUAUGUUUAAAAGUAACAAACUACCAGAAAACCAGGAAAUCCAAAAUUAAAGGAUAAAUCUGUCCUAAGUCCUCCCACUGCAGGCCAAGUACAGCAAGCCCCAUACACUUGCUGCCCUGAGAAAAACGGCUUGAAUAGUUAAUUGAAUUCAGAACUAAUUCUGGUCUUGCACCACUGUGGAUCAGGCAUUAGCCCACUAAAUUACAAGUUGUAUCAGCACAUGCUGGUAGGUAAGAAUCAGAGUCCACAGGAGUGCCUUUUGGUCCUCUUGGUUUCCACGGCUAGAUGUGUCACAAUGGGUACCUCAUUGGUGUGUGUGUGUGUAAGCACAGGGGCAGAGGGAACUUGGAAGCAAAGGCAGUUCUUGCAGACUCCAUCAGUCUUCAGCUUGUCCCUUCUGAUGACAAUCACGGAAUCCUCAAGGUUGGAAGAGACCUUCAAGAUCAUUUAGUCCAGCCAGCAAUGUGACCCCAGCAUAAUCACCCCUAAACCAAAUCCCUGGAUGCCACAUCCAGGUGCCUCUUGAGUAUGCCACAGGUUGGACAAGUACAUCUUGGUAUUGAUGCAUAAAAUGGUUAAAAUGCACUAAUUUUGACUUCCAUGCAGGUGUUUAUACAGCACAUGCUUUUAAGAUAGUAUAUUUUUUCUGCUGAAACUAGGAAUUCACUACACCAGCCUUGCAGACUUGUUUACACAGCUAUAUACGGGAUGUGUGUGUCUACAUCAGCUUCAGUUGGUGAAGUCUUGUAAAAUCUACAGGUGUGGAUUGCUACAUUCCUGUCUUGUGUUUUUCCUUCUUUUUUUUUUUUUUCCUGCUUCCCCCCAAAAAGUCACUUGAUCAGGUAUCAGACAUAGUGAAAACCUGGCAAGACUACAGGAAAGUGGCUAGACUUGGAGUGUUUGUGUACUUAAAGAAAGAAUCUUGCACAUUUUCAACUUUCAGUCACAGAUAUUUUUUUAUAAGAGCAAUUGGAGGUCUGAGCCAGCCCUCAAAGCGGAAAUCAAAAGCUCCCAGAGAAACAUACCCGAGGAAUGUGAAUCUGAUCCAAGAACCAUACGCAAUGCACAUACAGUACUGUCAGUCUUAUAGGAAGUCUUGCCAUAUAUGGACAUCUGGACCCUGAGCUGUUUAUCAUCACGAUAGGCUUGGAGCUGGCUUCAGACAUUUCUGGCUUGCCUCAGGGUUAGUGUGCCAAUUAGUUCCUUUCCCAAAAUGCUCACCAGGAUAUUUCUUUAAAAUUGUAAUAAAUACAUCUCAAAAUUCUGAGCGGUCUGGUUAAAGUUACGUUAGUAGGCUUUUGCUUAAAAUGCAGAUUCCAAGAAAGACUUACUCUGCUAGCUCAGAAAUAGACACAGAAUAAAAAUAAAGAGAUUGAUUCCAUCAUGAAUGUGGUUGCCUGGUAUUUCUCUUUCUUAGAAUUCAUCUGGUAGCUUAUUCUAUGUAUCUGUAGGCAUAGAAAGGGCUCUGAAGUAGACCACUUGCUGAACUUUUACUCAUCCUUCUCUGGGGAGAUGUGUGAUCUCAUGAAUCAACAAAGGCAAAGAAAGGACCACAUUUCCCAGGAUCUGUCACACAACUUAUCCAUGUUUAGUAGUAGUUUAUUAGAGUGGUACAAAGCCUUUCACCUUGGAGCCAUGACAAUUCGUGUCAGCUAAUCUUACUAAUGAGAGCCAUUAGCUCUUCUCCAAAGUGAACCAGAAUAAGAAGGCAGGGAGGAGCAGUGGAUGGUGUAGGGUCUAUGGAAAUGUUUGCUGCUGAAAUGGUGGACCUGGUCCAAAUUCCUCAAAAUACUGGUUCAGAUUCUCUGCUAGCAUUGGUUGGGUUGUUCACUAAAUGCCCUGUUGACCAUCAGAAUACUGUGACUUGAAAAGCCCAAGUCCAUUGGGCAAAGCAAAAUCAUCAGAUGUGAUUCUCAUUAGUGGACCUGAGUUUUGUUUUCUGUAAUGUCAUUCUGUAUGUGUUAACAUGCAAAUAUUUUGUCACUUCUAGAGUCCUUGAGAAUGCUGCUUUAAGCAAUUGAUUUUAUUCUUAAAAAGUAACUGGAGUUUUUGUGAAUGUGUAUAGUCUUAAACCAGCAAAGUGAUUACUGGAAGUAGAAUAAUCUAAAUGGGUAUUCAAAGCACAUGUAAAACUGUUUGUGUGAAAGUGAGAUUAUGAGUACUGUGAAGCGAGAUGUCCUUUACCUACUGAGCCUCAGAUUCAGUUCAUCUUAUUUUAUUCUGAAAAGUUUGCCACAGAUCUGGUCUCAGAAGCACUGUAGGAGCAGCAUUCACUACUUCUGUGAGGCGGCUGGCUGUGUCCUGGGCUUUGCUGGGGAAGUGUAGAGCCCUUCCACGGCUUGCAAAGCUAUGUAAGUUGAAGUGUGGAAGGAAGCUGUAGAAGCAAAUAGCUGGAAUGUGCUACAAGUGUGUGAGAGGGCCAGGGCCACUGAAAAAUGAGGCAGGAGCAGUGGAUGGAAACUGGUAUACUCAGUCCAUUAAAUGAAAAAUCUGCUAAAUC